rnacentral:rRNA from 1 species
GGCGAACGCUGGCGGCGUGCCUAAUACAUGCAAGUUGAGCGCUGAAGGUUGGUACUUGUACCGACUGGAUGAGCAGCGAACGGGUGAGUAACGCGUGGGGAAUCUGCCUUUGAGCGGGGGACAACAUUUGGAAACGAAUGCUAAUACCGCAUAACAACUUUAAACACAAGUUUUAAGUUUGAAAGAUGCAAUUGCAUCACUCAAAGAUGAUCCCGCGUUGUAUUAGCUAGUUGGUGAGGUACAGGCUCACCAAGGCGAUGAUACAUAGCCGACCUGAGAGGGUGAUCGGCCACAUUGGGACUGAGACACGGCCCAAACUCCUACGGGAGGCAGCAGUAGGGAAUCUUCGGCAAUGGACGAAAGUCUGACCGAGCAACGCCGCGUGAGUGAAGAAGGUUUUCGGAUCGUAAAACUCUGUUGGUAGAGAAGAACGUUGGUGAGAGUGGAAAGCUCAUCAAGUGACGGUAACUACCCAGAAAGGGACGGCUAACUACGUGCCAGCAGCCGCAGUAA